rnacentral:rRNA from 1 species
CCCCCAGUAGCGGCGAGCGAACGGGGAGGAGCCCAGAGCCUGAAUCAGUGUGUGUGUUAGUGGAAGCGUCUGGAAAGGCGCGCGAUACAGGGUGACAGCCCCGUACACAAAAAUGCACAUGCUGUGAGCUCGAUGAGUAGGGCGGGACACGUGGUAUCCUGUCUGAAUAUGGGGGGACCAUCCUCCAAGGCUAAAUACUCCUGACUGACCGAUAGUGAACCAGUACCGUGAGGGAAAGGCGAAAAGAACCCCGGCGAGGGGAGUGAAAAAGAACCUGAAACCGUGUACGUACAAGCAGUGGGAGCACGCUUAGGCGUGUGACUGCGUACCUUUUGUAUAAUGGGUCAGCGACUUAUAUUCUGUAGCAAGGUUAACCGAAUAGGGGAGCCGAAGGGAAACCGAGUCUUAACUGGGCGUUAAGUUGCAGGGUAUAGACCCGAAACCCGGUGAUCUAGCCAUGGGCAGGUUGAAGGUUGGGUAACACUAACUGGAGGACCGAACCGACUAAUGUUGAAAAAUUAGCGGAUGACUUGUGGCUGGGGGUGAAAGGCCAAUCAAACCGGGAGAUAGCUGGUUCUCCCCGAAAGCUAUUUAGGUAGCGCCUCGUGAAUUCAUCUCCGGGGGUAGAGCACUGUUUCGGCAAGGGGGUCAUCCCGACUUACCAACCCGAUGCAAACUGCGAAUACCGGAGAAUGUUAUCACGGGAGACACACGGCGGGUGCUAACGUCCGUCGUGAAGAGGGAAACAACCCAGACCGCCAGCUAAGGUCCCAAAGUCAUGGUUAAGUGGGAAACGAUGUGGGAAGGCCCAGACAGCCAGGAUGUUGGCUUAGAAGCAGCCAUCAUUUAAAGAAAGCGUAAUAGCUCACUGGUCGAGUCGGCCUGCGCGGAAGAUGUAACGGGGCUAAACCAUGCACCGAAGCUGCGGCAGCGACACUGUGUGUUGUUGGGUAGGGGAGCGUUCUGUAAGCCUGUGAAGGUGUACUGUGAGGUAUGCUGGAGGUAUCAGAAGUGCGAAUGCUGACAUAAGUAACGAUAAAGCGGGUGAAAAGCCCGCUCGCCGGAAGACCAAGGGUUCCUGUCCAACGUUAAUCGGGGCAGGGUGAGUCGACCCCUAAGGCGAGGCCGAAAGGCGUAGUCGAUGGGAAACAGGUUAAUAUUCCUGUACUUGGUGUUACUGCGAAGGGGGGACGGAGAAGGCUAUGUUGGCCGGGCGACGGUUGUCCCGGUUUAAGCGUGUAGGCUGGUUUUCCAGGCAAAUCCGGAAAAUCAAGGCUGAGGCGUGAUGACGAGGCACUACGGUGCUGAAGCAACAAAUGCCCUGCUUCCAGGAAAAGCCUCUAAGCAUCAGGUAACAUCAAAUCGUACCCCAAACCGACACAGGUGGUCAGGUAGAGAAUACCAAGGCGCUUGAGAGAACUCGGGUGAAGGAACUAGGCAAAAUGGUGCCGUAACUUCGGGAGAAGGCACGCUGAUAUGUAGGUGAAGCGACUUGCUCGUGGAGCUGAAAUCAGUCGAAGAUACCAGCUGGCUGCAACUGUUUAUUAAAAACACAGCACUGUGCAAACACGAAAGUGGACGUAUACGGUGUGACGCCUGCCCGGUGCCGGAAGGUUAAUUGAUGGGGUUAGCGGUAACGCGAAGCUCUUGAUCGAAGCCCCGGUAAACGGCGGCCGUAACUAUAACGGUCCUAAGGUAGCGAAAUUCCUUGUCGGGUAAGUUCCGACCUGCACGAAUGGCGUAAUGAUGGCCAGGCUGUCUCCACCCGAGACUCAGUGAAAUUGAACUCGCUGUGAAGAUGCAGUGUACCCGCGGCAAGACGGAAAGACCCCGUGAACCUUUACUAUAGCUUGACACUGAACAUUGAGCCUUGAUGUGUAGGAUAGGUGGGAGGCUUUGAAGUGUGGACGCCAGUCUGCAUGGAGCCGACCUUGAAAUACCACCCUUUAAUGUUUGAUGUUCUAACGUGGACCCGUGAUCCGGGUUGCGGACAGUGUCUGGUGGGUAGUUUGACUGGGGCGGUCUCCUCCUAAAGAGUAACGGAGGAGCACGAAGGUUGGCUAAUCCUGGUCGGACAUCAGGAGGUUAGUGCAAUGGCAUAAGCCAGCUUGACUGCGAGCGUGACGGCGCGAGCAGGUGCGAAAGCAGGUCAUAGUGAUCCGGUGGUUCUGAAUGGAAGGGCCAUCGCUCAACGGAUAAAAGGUACUCCGGGGAUAACAGGCUGAUACCGCCCAAGAGUUCAUAUCGACGGCGGUGUUUGGCACCUCGAUGUCGGCUCAUCACAUCCUGGGGCUGAAGUAGGUCCCAAGGGUAUGGCUGUUCGCCAUUUAAAGUGGUACGCGAGCUGGGUUUAGAACGUCGUGAGACAGUUCGGUCCCUAUCUGCCGUGGGCGCUGGAGAACUGAGGGGGGCUGCUCCUAGUACGAGAGGACCGGAGUGGACGCAUCACUGGUGUUCGGGUUGUCAUGCCAAUGGCACUGCCCGGUAGCUAAAUGCGGAAGAGAUAAGUGCUGAAAGCAUCUAAGCACGAAACUUGCCCCGAGAUGAGUUCUCCCUGACUCCUUGAGAGUCCUGAAGGAACGUUGAAGACGACGACGUUGAUAGGCCGGGUGUGUAAGCGCAGCGAUGCGUUGAGCUAACCGGUACUAAUGAACCGUGAGGCUUAACCU